CUUUGAGUUUAGCAUCAGUUGAAUAUCUGAAAUAUUCUAGGAUGAGUUGGAAAUGUGAAAGACAAACCAUAUACAUUAUAGCAGCUGUAUUGGGCCACAUACUUCUUAUAGCCUUCCUCCGAUACGGUAGGAUAUUUCGCAACUAAUGAUGGUACUAUACUCUUCCAAUUCCACAAUAGUUUGGCAUCUCAGUCUAUUCGAUGUUUUCCUAUUCCUUGCACUUAUACUAUUGAACGGCGUUGCCAUAUACGUGGGUUGCUGGAUCAGCCUGGAAUAUCCAACACUGGUGCUGGCGGGCACCCUAGCUAUACCCCUCGCUUGUAUCCACCUAUUCGUUUGGCGAAUCGAUGCGUUAACUGAACUUUGGGGUAGAAUCAAAAUAUUAACAAAAAUCGGCCACGUUUUAGUUUUAACGUUUCUGAUAGUUUAUUCUGCGCUUUGGCUGUUUCUUGCCUUUUCCUACUUCAACCAUGUGAGCAACAAUACCUCCUUGGAGAUACUCAAAGAAUAUGGUGGAUAAAUCCCACCACGGAUAAGUCCCCAUAAGUAUGGGGGCUAUGUUAAUAAGAAAACAGUUUCGUCAAAUACUAAACAUUUCCGUUACCGAAAAUGCAUAAGUGAUUGUGUAAAAUACUUGCAAAAUGCCCGGGCCGGGGCCAAAGCCGGGGCUAU